AACGAACGCUGGCGGCAGGCUUAACACAUGCAAGUCGAGCGCCCCGCAAGGGGAGCGGCAGACGGGUGAGUAACGCGUGGGAAUCUACCCAUCUCUACGGAAUAACGCAUGGAAACGUGUGCUAAUACCGUAUACGUCCUUCGGGAGAAAGAUUUAUCGGAGAUGGAUGAGCCCGCGUUGGAUUAGCUAGUUGGUGGGGUAAAGGCCUACCAAGGCGACGAUCCAUAGCUGGUCUGAGAGGAUGAUCAGCCACACUGGGACUGAGACACGGCCCAGACUCCUACGGGAGGCAGCAGUGGGGAAUAUUUGACAAUGGGCGAAAGCCUGAUCCAGCCAUGCCGCGUGAGUGAUGAAGGCCCUAGGGUUGUAAAGCUCUUUCACCGGUGAAGAUAAUGACGGUAACCGGAGAAGAAGCCCCGGCUAACUUCGUGCCAGCCGCCGCAGUAAAAC
rnacentral:rRNA from 1 species